CAAGGGUAGCUAAUCAGAGGGAAAUCAGGAGAAGCUGGUGGGAGAGAACAUGCAGGCAACAGGAGAGUGGCUGAUCAACACAAAUGAGCAAAGAAUCCAGGGGAACAACAACACAUCUGAGAGAACAGAAGCAGCUGCAGCUGGUGGGUGGGCAGAGCAGAGAUGAGUGUAUUAGCCUCUGGCACACAUCUGCACCCUGGGACCAGUAGCUGAUGGCGCCAGCCAUCUUUGGCACCACAUCGUCCCUAAACCCCACACACCCGAGGCUGUGCACCUCAUGAGGUGCCGCUGGAGCUGCAGAGUCGAGAGCAUGACAGGUGUGGCUCCAUCAGCAGGAGACCUAUAAGAGGGAGGAUUGCCAGCACUUCGACGCCUGAGUGUUUUGCCUACCUGGUUUUUGAACCAAGCCACGACAACCCCCCUCAGGACAUGACUAAUUAUGGAUCUGUAACCAGCUGGCAGUCCGCUCUCUUGAGAUUAAGCAAACCCUGUCCACCCUCCAAUGGCCACCAGGACUGUAUCACCAAGCGUUGCUGGACUUUGAGCAGCCCGCUCUAACUUCUUCUCAGACUCGACAUUCUCUCUCCCUGGCGAAUCGAGCUUUCUGAACUGUAAGCAAAACUGCAAAUUAGAGAUCCCUUCGUAUGAACCAACACUUACCUGUCGUUGUCUUGCAGCUGCCCGUUUCUGGCCUGAGCCUCGUUCCAUUCAUUUCUGCCUUGCAGAAUAAACAACAUCUAAAUGGUCCUCUGUUUUUUGAGUGUUCUGUAUGUGGGUCAAAUCGGCCACAAAGAUUAUGACAGUUGGCACAACCAGUUAUUUGGUUUAGAGGCAAUAAUGUU